ACAAAUUCACAUUUUUGAACAUUUUUAUUAAAUAUUUAUUUAAUUGAAAAUUUUCUAGGUUAUUUAAAUAGAAAAGUGCAUUUCAAGGAGUGUCAAGGAGUAAUAGCCAAGAGUCGGGGAAAUAUUGAGAAUUAACAAAACUUUUCUAAGUUAUUUAAAUAGAAAAAAUGAGAAUUGGGAUGGAGGCUGAUACGUAAAAAAAAAAUUGGAAAACAAAGAAGGAGAAUAGGAACCCUAAAGAGAGCUCUA
rnacentral:lncRNA from 1 species